UACGUAGGCAGCGAGCGUUGUUCGGAGUUACUGGGCGUAAAGCGUGCGUAGGCGGCGGCCCAAGUCUGGUGUGAAAUCUCCCGGCUUAACCGGGAGGGUGCGCCGGAAACUGGGUUGCUGGAGUGCCGGAGAGGCAGGCGGAAUUCCUGGUGUAGCGGUGAAAUGCGUAGAUAUCCGGAGGAACACCGGUGGCGAAGGCGGCUUCCUGGACCGACACUGACGCUGAGGCGCGAAAGCUAGGGGAGCAAACGGG
rnacentral:rRNA from 1 species